GAGAGGGGGAGAGGCAGAGAAAAAGAGAAAGGAAAGGAAAGGAAGGAAAGGAAAGGAAAGGAAAGGAAAGGAAAGGAAAGGAAAGGAAAGGAAAGGAAAGGAAAGGAAAAGAAAGGAAAGGGAAAGAAAAGAAAGGAAAGGAAACGAGAGGAGAGGAUAAUUUCUUUAGGGUUUAGAAGAUUUUAGAUCCUUUAUUAGGACCUUUAUGGAUUGUGUCCUCAUAAAAUUCUUGUCAGCCUGUUAUUAGCCUGUUUUUACACUCAAGGAAACAGUCUCAGAGGGCUUAUAUAACUUGUCAAGGUCAACACAGAGAGUAAAAAAGAAUCAAUGCCAGACUGUAAACCUAGAGUCUCUCCCAGGGAGUCUAAGAAAGUUACUGUUACAGAGCAAGGCCGGAUUGGUCCUGGAGAAUAGAUUACUUGUUCACAGUGAUAUUCAAAUUCCUGAGUCUUGGCACUGCUGUAGUAGGCAUUUGCAGACACAAAGCUGAGACAUCCUGAUGCCAUAGUGGAUACUACAUGGGAUUAUAUGGUUCUCUCAGGAGGCCAAACUUCUUCUGAAGCCCCUGAGGGGAAGAUGUAAUAGUUAAGGCUAGAGUGGGUACUUGGGAGUCUUCCUCUGGAGCCUGAGGAUGUUGGGGGCUAACACUGUCUCAUGUGCUGCUGAAGUUAUGAGAAGGAACAGGGACACCAGAAUCCGAGCAAGGGUGAGGGACUUUGUUGCCAACAAGACCAAUGCCUCAGAACCUGUGACUCAGUUUUGGCUGGAGGUAGGGGACCCAGGCCUGGAGGAGCCAAGCUGCAGUGAGACUUCAAGGCAGCCACACAGUCCACCGCCAGGGUUCAACUGCACCUCCUCAGCCUCAGCUGAGCACCAAGAUUCUGGGCUCCCCUUAUUGCCCUGUGAGCUGCUCCUGAGAAGUCAGAUCCGACUUGUCCUCUGUGGUCACCUUGGAGUUACACUUCCUUUCUCUCUGCCAUCUACUUUGAAGAACUCCUUUUCAGGUUGUCUUCUUCAGGAAUGAGCCUGUGUUUUUAUACCUUCUUAUGAAUAUUCAACUCAGACCAUAAACAAAAUGAGGAGCCUUGCUGGUGAGGAUUUGAACUAGAGAAAACAGGAGCCCUUAGGCUCAUGCAUUUGGACAAAUCUCAGAGAACUGAAAUAUUUGAAAAGAGAGAGCGGAAAGGUGUUUGUUGUCGAUGUUAUUGUCAUUGCUAUUUUCCAAUAAAGCAUGAGACAUUUUUCA
rnacentral:lncRNA from 12 species